UUCAGUACAUUCAAAUAUUCCACUUGCUGAUGGCUGCUCUGUGUUGAAUUCAUCUCCAUUUAGUCUUUAGCUGAAAGAGAAACAUGACAGACUUGUCUGCCUCUUCAAAAUGGAUUUAUAUUGGAAAGCCAAUGUGUACCCAACUCUUUUCCUGUGGUUCUUGUGAGAGCCUUUGCUUUACCAAGGAUAAAUACGACAUCCUUUUCACCCAUUAUAAUUUACUGAUGGUAAUAUAAAGAAUUUUCUCAUAUUGCUAAUUUCCAUCCAUUUAAUUGAGUAUUUACUCAAUUUUUUUGUUAUCAUAGCAAAUAUGCUCUGACUAGCUAGUCAGGGCGUGUUGGGAAUAAAAUAUUAAUUUCCACUUUACUCGGUCGUUGAAUAAUAUGAAAAAUAACACAAGCAAUCGGAACACUAAAAUUUACGUGGAAAACCCUCCCAAAUUUAGAGGGAAAAAUCACGGGCCAAAUUCCGAGAAAUAUCCACUAUAAAAAUAACGGUACACCAAAAUCUCAAGUGACCAACUUGAGAAACACCAAAAAUAGAGACGAUACAAGAACACCCUUUGGGACUAAUAUUGUACCCAAAGAAACCUCACAAACACUCUUAUAUAAUAUACACUCUAAUUUUUGGACACUAACUACCACUCACCAAUUUGUGAGUAACUCUCAAAAUUCUCUCUCGGAUAUAACACACAAAAGAAUUGUUUUUGUGUUGGUGUGUGUUCCAUUUAGCUUGCUCUCCCCAAUGGCCUUUAUAUAGGCAAAGAAAGAAACAUGGUUGGUGGGGUUGGUGACCUACCAAUUUGAACACAUAAGUCGGCCAGCACCUUUUCACAUGGUUGAUGAGGUUGGUGACUUACCAAUUUGAACACAUAAGUCGGCUAGCACCUUUUCACAUGGUUGAUGGGGUUGGUGACCUACCAAUUUGAACACAAAAUUGUGGCUGCACCUUUUCACAUGGUUGAGAGAUUAUUCAACAAUCNNN
rnacentral:lncRNA from 1 species